rnacentral:rRNA from 1 species
UACGGGGGGGGCAAGCGUUGUUCGGAAUUACUGGGCGUAAAGGGCUCGUAGGCGGCCAACUAAGUCAGACGUGAAAUCCCUCGGCUUAACCGGGGAACGGCCUCUGAUACUGGCUGGCUGGAGUUCGGGAGAGGGAUGCGGAAUUCCAGGUGUAGCGGUGAAAUGCGUAAAUAUCUGGAGGAACACCGGUGGCGAAGGCGGCAUCCUGGACCGACACUGACGCUGAGGAGCGAAAGCCAGGGGAGCAAACGGG